rnacentral:rRNA from 1 species
CAGUCGCCACGGUAAUACGGAGGGUGCAAGCGUUAAUCGGAAUUACUGGGCGUAAAGCGUGCGUAGGCGGCUUCUUAAGUCGGAUGUGAAAUCCCUGAGCUUAACUUAGGAAUUGCAUUCGAUACUGGGAAGCUAGAGUAUGGGAGAGGAUGGUAGAAUUCCAGGUGUAGCGGUGAAAUGCGUAGAGAUCUGGAGGAAUACCGAUGGCGAAGGCAGCCAUCUGGCCUAAUACUGACGCUGAGGUACGAAAGCAUGGGGAGCAAACAGGAUUAGAUACCCCCGUAGUCCCUGUCUCUUAUAC